GGUGAGACGCGUGGAGGUUUGGGGAUGAUCCGGUUGCUUGAGAUGCGGGAUGAAGUUGAAUCGCUUGAGACUCUUCAGCUGGGAACGUUGCAGAAGUUUGGGAGUUGCGCACAUCGCCACAAAUGCAGGGAAACUCCUCACGGAUGCAUGCUCUGUUUGUGGGAAUGUGCUUCACGGGUAGAUGAGAAGCUGGGAAGAGAAACUGGGAAGACAUUUAUGUUGGGAAGUUGAGAAGACUCCUC
rnacentral:lncRNA from 1 species